rnacentral:rRNA from 1 species
AAUGUCUAAGAUAGCCAUGCACGUCUAGUACAAACUAAAUGAUGGUGAAACUGCAAAUGGCUCAUUACAACGGUUAUGAUGUACCCGGGAGUUCCGAUGGAUAUUUCCAGUAACACUAGAACUAAUACAUGUCCCUGCGUUUAUUAGUUUCGCACAGUCCGUCGCUGAGUCAUGGUAAACAGUUGAUCGACUCGACGUCCCGGAACAGUUUCCGCCCCAUCAGCUUCGAUGGUUGGGUAUUGGCCUACCAUUGCAACAACGGGUAACGAGGAAUUAGGGUUUGAUUUCGGAGAGGGAGCCUGAGAAACGGCUACCACAUCUACGGAUGGCAGCAGGCGCGCAAAUUACCCAAUGCAGGCACUGUGAGGUAGUGACGAGAAAUAAUAAAGCGGGACUUCUGUUUCGCUAUUAUAAUGAGGAAUAACCAAAGGUCAUUCCGAUUAGCAACUGAUGGGAAAGUCUGGUGCCAGCAGCCGCGGUAAUACCAGCGUCAGUAGCAU